CAGUCGCCGCGGUAAUACGAAGGGUGCAAGCGUUAAUCGGAAUUACUGGGCGUAAAGCGUGCGUAGGCGGUGAGUUAAGUCUGCUGUGAAAGCCCUGGGCUCAACCUGGGAAUUGCAGUGGAUACUGGGUCACUAGAGUGUGGUAGAGGAUAGUGGAAUUUCCGGUGUAGCAGUGAAAUGCGUAGAGAUCGGAAGGAACAUCUGUGGCGAAGGCGACUAUCUGGGCCAACACUGACACUGAGACACGAAAGCGUGGGGAGCAAACAGGAUUAGAUACCCCGGUAGUCCCUGUCUCUUAUAC
rnacentral:rRNA from 1 species